CUACGGGAGGCACCAGUGGGGAAUAUUGCACAAUGGGCGCAAGCCUGAUGCAGCCAUGCCGCGUGUAUGAAGAAGGCCUUCGGGUUGUAAAGUACUUUCAGCGGGGAGGAGGGGAGUAAAGUUAAUACCUUUGCUCAUUGACGUUACCCGCAGAGGAAGCACCGGCUAACUCCGUGCCAGCAGCCGCGGUAAUACGGAGGGUGCAAGCGUUAAUCGGAAUUACUGGGCGUAAAGCGCACGCAGGCGGUUUGUUAAGUCAGAUGUGAAAUCCCCGGGCUCAACCUGGGAACUGCAUCUGAUACUGGCAAGCUUGAGUCUCGUAGAGGGGGGUAGAAUUCCAGGUGUAGCGGUGAAAUGCGUAGAGAUCUGGAGGAAUGCCGGUGGCGAAGGCGGCCCCCUGGACGAAGACUGACGCUCAGGUGCGAAAGCGUGGGGAGCAAACAGGAUUAGAUACCCGAGUAGUC
rnacentral:rRNA from 1 species